AUACGUAGGGCGCAAGCGUUAUCCGGAAUUAUUGGGCGUAAAGAGCUCGUAGGCGGCUUGUCGCGUCUGCUGUGAAAAUGCGGGGCUUAACUCCGCACGUGCAGUGGGUACGGGCAGGCUAGAGUGCGGUAGGGGUGACUGGAAUUCCUGGUGUAGCGGUGGAAUGCGCAGAUAUCAGGAGGAACACCGAUGGCGAAGGCAGGUCACUGGGCCGUUACUGACGCUGAGGAGCGAAAGCAUGGGGAGCGAACAGGAUUAGAUACCCUGGUAGUCCAUGCCGUAAACGUUGGGCACUAGGUGUGGGGUCUGUUUCCAUGGAUUCUGCGCCGUAGCUAACGCAUUAAGUGCCCCGCCUGGGGAGUACGGCCGCAAGGCUAAA
rnacentral:rRNA from 1 species